rnacentral:rRNA from 1 species
GGUUAAGCGACUAAGCGUACACGGUGGAUGCCCUGGCAGUCAGAGGCGAUGAAGGACGUGCUAAUCUGCGAUAAGCGUCGGUAAGGUGAUAUGAACCGUUAUAACCGGCGAUUUCCGAAUGGGGAAACCCAGUGUGUUUCGACACACUAUCAUUAACUGAAUCCAUAGGUUAAUGAGGCGAACCGGGGGAACUGAAACAUCUAAGUACCCCGAGGAAAAGAAAUCAACCGAGAUUCCCCCAGUAGCGGCGAGCGAACGGGGAGGAGCCCAGAGCCUGAAUCAGUGUGUGUGUUAGUGGAAGCGUCUGGAAAGGCGCGCGAUACAGGGUGACAGCCCCGUACACAAAAAUGCACAUAUUGUGAGCUCGAUGAGUAGGGCGGGACACGUGGUAUCCUGUCUGAAUAUGGGGGACCAUCCUCCAAGGCUAAAUACUCCUGACUGACCGAUAGUGAACCAGUACCGUGAGGGAAAGGCGAAAAGAACCCCGGCGAGGGGAGUGAAAAAGAACCUGAAACCGUGUACGUACAAGCAGUGGGAGCCUCUUAAUGGGGUGACUGCGUACCUUUUGUAUAAUGGGUCAGCGACUUAUAUUCUGUAGCAAGGUUAACCGAAUAGGGGAGCCGAAGGGAAACCGAGUCUUAACUGGGCGUUAAGUUGCAGGGUAUAGACCCGAAACCCGGUGAUCUAGCCAUGGGCAGGUUGAAGGUUGGGUAACACUAACUGGAGGACCGAACCGACUAAUGUUGAAAAAUUAGCGGAUGACUUGUGGCUGGGGGUGAAAGGCCAAUCAAACCGGGAGAUAGCUGGUUCUCCCCGAAAGCUAUUUAGGUAGCGCCUCGUGAAUUCAUCUCCGGGGGUAGAGCACUGUUUCGGCAAGGGGGUCAUCCCGACUUACCAACCCGAUGCAAACUGCGAAUACCGGAGAAUGUUAUCACGGGAGACACACGGCGGGUGCUAACGUCCGUCGUGAAGAGGGAAACAACCCAGACCGCCAGCUAAGGUCCCAAAGUCAUGGUUAAGUGGGAAACGAUGUGGGAAGGCCCAGACAGCCGGGAUGUUGGCUUAGAAGCAGCCAUCAUUUAAAGAAAGCGUAAUAGCUCACUGGUCGAGUCGGCCUGCGCGGAAGAUGUAACGGGGCUAAACCAUGCACCGAAGCUGCGGCAGCGACACUAUGUGUUGUUGGGUAGGGGAGCGUUCUGUAAGCCUGUGAAGGUGUACUGUGAGGUAUGCUGGAGGUAUCAGAAGUGCGAAUGCUGACAUAAGUAACGAUAAAGCGGGUGAAAAGCCCGCUCGCCGGAAGACCAAGGGUUCCUGUCCAACGUUAAUCGGGGCAGGGUGAGUCGACCCCUAAGGCGAGGCCGAAAGGCGUAGUCGAUGGGAAACAGGUUAAUAUUCCUGUACUUGGUGUUACUGCGAAGGGGGACGGAGAAGGCUAUGUUGGCCGGGCGACGGUUGUCCCGGUUUAAGCGUGUAGGCUGGUUUUCCGGGCAAAUCCGGAAAAUCAAGGCUGAGGCGUGAUGACGAGGCACUACGGUGCUGAAGCGACAAAUGCCCUGCUUCCGGGAAAAGCCUCUAAGCAUCAGGUAACAUCAAAUCGUACCCCAAACCGACACAGGUGGUCAGGUAGAGAAUACCAAGGCGCUUGAGAGAACUCGGGUGAAGGAACUAGGCAAAAUGGUGCCGUAACUUCGGGAGAAGGCACGCUGAUAUGUAGGUGAAGCGACUUGCUCGUGGAGCUGAAAUCAGUCGAAGAUACCAGCUGGCUGCAACUGUUUAUUAAAAACACAGCACUGUGCAAACACGAAAGUGGACGUAUACGGUGUGACGCCUGCCCGGUGCCGGAAGGUUAAUUGAUGGGGUUAGCGGUAACGCGAAGCUCUUGAUCGAAGCCCCGGUAAACGGCGGCCGUAACUAUAACGGUCCUAAGGUAGCGAAAUUCCUUGUCGGGUAAGUUCCGACCUGCACGAAUGGCGUAAUGAUGGCCGGGCUGUCUCCACCCGAGACUCAGUGAAAUUGAACUCGCUGUGAAGAUGCAGUGUACCCGCGGCAAGACGGAAAGACCCCGUGAACCUUUACUAUAGCUUGACACUGAACAUUGAGCCUUGAUGUGUAGGAUAGGUGGGAGGCUUUGAAGUGUGGACGCCAGUCUGCAUGGAGCCGACCUUGAAAUACCACCCUUUAAUGUUUGAUGUUCUAACGUGGGCCCCUUACCGGGGUUGCGGACAGUGUCUGGUGGGUAGUUUGACUGGGGCGGUCUCCUCCUAAAGAGUAACGGAGGAGCACGAAGGUUGGCUAAUCCUGGUCGGACAUCAGGAGGUUAGUGCAAUGGCAUAAGCCAGCUUGACUGCGAGCGUGACGGCGCGAGCAGGUGCGAAAGCAGGUCAUAGUGAUCCGGUGGUUCUGAAUGGAAGGGCCAUCGCUCAACGGAUAAAAGGUACUCCGGGGAUAACAGGCUGAUACCGCCCAAGAGUUCAUAUCGACGGCGGUGUUUGGCACCUCGAUGUCGGCUCAUCACAUCCUGGGGCUGAAGUAGGUCCCAAGGGUAUGGCUGUUCGCCAUUUAAAGUGGUACGCGAGCUGGGUUUAGAACGUCGUGAGACAGUUCGGUCCCUAUCUGCCGUGGGCGCUGGAGAACUGAGGGGGCUGCUCCUAGUACGAGAGGACCGGAGUGGACGCAUCACUGGUGUUCGGGUUGUCAUGCCAAUGGCACUGCCCGGUAGCUAAAUGCGGAAGAGAUAAGUGCUGAAAGCAUCUAAGCACGAAACUUGCCCCGAGAUGAGUUCUCCCUGACUCCUUGAGAGUCCUGAAGGAACGUUGAAGACGACGACGUUGAUAGGCCGGGUGUGUAAGCGCAGCGAUGCGUUGAGCUAACCGGUACUAAUGAACCGUGAGGCUUAACCUU